rnacentral:snoRNA from 1 species
CUUGAGGUCUAUCCUGAUGGGGCUUCUCCUCUGGCUGCAUUGCAUUGGAAAUGCCUUAUAGAGUGGCACUGGUUUUGCUUUGCUCACAGGUCUAGUUCUUAGGCCUGUGAUAAGGCACUACAAAACAGCA